rnacentral:lncRNA from 1 species
AGAUGGUUGAUUAAUGAUUGUGAAUCAUUAAACGAUAUAAUUCUCAAUGUGAUUGAUGAUUAACUUUAUAUAAAAAUUAUAAUUAUGUAAGUUACUAAGUGUUAGUGAAUUAUAAGAAGAUUAAUUAGCAAUUAGAUUGCUAGUUGGCUCAAUUUGAUUGAGCAAUGAGUUCGGAUCAAGUCUAAUUAAAUUGGAUUCAUUUUGACUUGGAUUGGGUUUGAUUGGAUCCAACCUAAAUGCAA